GCCACACCCGUUCCCAUCCCGAACACGGCAGUUAAGCUUCUCUGCGCCGAUGGUAGUGGAGGAUUUCCCUCCGCAAGAGUAGGACAUUGCCAGGC
rnacentral:rRNA from 1 species